UACAGAGGUCUCAAGCGUUGUUCGGAUUCAUUGGGCGUAAAGGGUGCGUAGGCGGCGCGGUAAGUCGGGUGUGAAAUCUCGGGGCUUAACUCCGAAACUGCAUUCGAUACUGCCGUGCUUGAGGACUGGAGAGGAGACUGGAAUUUACGGUGUAGCGGUGAAAUGCGUAGAUAUCGUAAGGAAGACCAGUGGCGAAGGCGGAUCUCUGGACAGUUCCUGACGCUGAGGCGCGAAGGCCAGGGGAGCAAACGGG
rnacentral:rRNA from 1 species